CACUCUGUCACUCAGGCUGGAGUGAAGUGGUGCAAUCACAGUUCACUGAAACCUUGAACUCCUGGGUACAAGGAAUCCUCCUGUCUGGAACUACAGGAAGAAGAUGAUUUUUCACCUAGUGGAGUCAUUGAACAGUGGUCUUCAAAUUGGGAUUAUUUCCAAGAAUAGAUUAAAAUGCCAUGAAAAAGAAAAAAUUAUAGAAAAGCAAAAAGAGCUGAAUGCAGUGAAUGAACAUCUGUGAAUGAAGUUGAGAAGGUAUAUGUGGGGCAGACUAGAAUUGCAGUGCACAGAUACAAGAAUGUUGCCUGCUUUGGAGCCAAGACUGCCUUCCGGAUAAAGGGCCCACAGAGAGCUGAGAGCUGUGUAAUACCUCAAAGACUGAAGAAAAGAGUUAGACAGCCAUCUUUCCUUAGAGGAUUUUGCUGCAGACAGCUUGAACUACCAGAAGGUUAUAUACUGACCAUGGGUAGAGUAAGGAAGAAAUACAUCCUUCGGAAAGGACAAUGAAGAUCUUUACAGCAGGAGAUGGAGUCUCAGUCUUUUGCCCUGGCUGGGGUACAAUGCCAUGAUCACAGCUCACUGCAGUCUGGAGCCCCUGGGCUCAACGAUCCUCCCAUCCCAGCCUCCUUGAGUUGUUGGGAUUACAGGCAUGAGCCACUGCACCCAGCUUCACUUUUUUGGCUGUGGUAAAUGAUACUGUAUUUCUAAUUUUGGUGUCCACAUGUUCAUUGCUAGUAUAUUGAAACUUUUUUGUGCAUUGAUGCUGUAUCCUGAGGCUUUGCUGAACUUAAUUAUUAUUUCCAGUAAUUCUCGUUUGUCUUUUUUAGAUUUCUUGGGAUUUUCUAUGUGAACUGUCAUGUCAUCCUAAAAUAGAGUUUAUUUCUGUUUUUGAGGUUUUUGUGCCUUUAAUUUUACUUUAUUGCCUUUUUGCAAGAUAGAACUAAAUAGAACAUCCGGUACUAUGCUCAGUAGGGGUAAUGAGAGCACAUCCUUUGUUCCUUUCCAGUCUUAGGGAAAAAGCAUUCAGUCUCUAAUCAUUAAAUAAUUCUUUUCUGUAGG
rnacentral:lncRNA from 10 species